UCCGAGUUGACCCCGGCAGUCUCCGAUGAGUCCCCACCAUUACGUGCUGGCAACAUCGAAUAAGGGUUGCGCUCGUUGCGGGACUUAACCCAACAUCUCACGACACGAGCUGACGACAACCAUGCACCACCUGUACGCAGCCCUUGCGGACCCCACAUCUCUGCGAGUUUUCUGCGUAUGUCAAGCCUUGGUAAGGUUCUUCGCGUUGCAUCGAAUUAAUCCGCAUGCUCCGCCGCUUGUGCGGGCCCCCGUCAAUUCCUUUGAGUUUUAGCCUUGCGGCCGUACUCCCCAGGCGGGGCGCUUAAUGCGUUAGCUGCGGCACGGAACUCGUGGAAAGAGCCCCACACCUAGCGCCCAACGUUUACGGCAUGGACUAC
rnacentral:misc_RNA from 1 species